rnacentral:misc_RNA from 1 species
CAGAGUUGUAAAACUCCCAAACCCAUGUGAACAUACCUGUUGCCUCGGCGGGCUACCCGGCAGCUACCCUGUAGCUACCCUGUAGUCCGCCGGCGGAAUUCAAAACUCUUGUUUUCAAUUGUCAUCUCUGAGAAUAAAACAAAUAAAUCA